UACAGAGGAGGCAAGCGUUGUUCGGAAUCACUGGGCUUAAAGCGCGUGUAGGCGGCGCGAUAAGUGUUCUGUGAAAUCCCACGGCUCACCCGUGGAACUGCAGGGCAUACUGUCGUGCUUGAGGCAGGUAGGGGCCACUGGAACUCUCGGUGGAACGGUGAAAUGUGUAGAUAUCGAGAGGAACGCCCGAGGCGAAAGCGGGUGGGUGGGCCUGUCCUGACGCUGAGACGCGAAAGCGUGGGGAGCAAACGGG
rnacentral:rRNA from 1 species